AACGAACGCUGGCGGCAUGCCUAACACAUGCAAGUCGAACGAGACCUUCGGGUCUAGUGGCGCACGGGUGCGUAACGCGUGGGAAUCUACCCUCAGGUUCGGAAUAACUCAGAGAAAUUUGAGCUAAUACCGGAUGAUGACGUAAGUCCAAAGAUUUAUCGCCUGAGGAUGAGCCCGCGUAGGAUUAGGUAGUUGGUGAGGUAAAGGCUCACCAAGCCGACGAUCCUUAGCUGGUCUGAGAGGAUGAUCAGCCACACUGGGACUGAGACACGGCCCAGACUCCUACGGGAGGCAGCAGUGGGGAAUAUUGGACAAUGGGCGAAAGCCUGAUCCAGCAAUGCCGCGUGAGUGAUGAAGGCCUUAGGGUUGUAAAGCUCUUUUACCCGGGAUGAUAAUGACAGUACCGGGAGAAUAAGCACCGGCUAACUCCGG
rnacentral:rRNA from 1 species